rnacentral:rRNA from 1 species
CCUACGGGUGGCUGCAGUGGGGAAUAUUGGACAAUGGGGGCAACCCUGAUCCAGCCAUGCCGCGUGUGUGAAGAAGGCCCUCGGGUUGUAAAGCACUUUCAGUGAGGAAGAACGCCUGGUGGUUUAUACCCAUCAGGAAAGACAUCACUCACAGAAGAAGCACCGGCUAACUCCGUGCCAGCAGCCGCGGUAAUACGGAGGGUGCGAGCGUUAAUCGGAAUUACUGGGCGUAAAGCGCGCGUAGGUGGCUUGAUAAGCCGGUUGUGAAAGCCCCGGGCUCAACCUGGGAACGGCAUCCGGAACUGUCCAGCUAGAGUGCAGGAGAGGAAGGUAGAAUUCCCGGUGUAGCGGUGAAAUGCGUAGAGAUCGGGAGGAAUACCAGUGGCGAAGGCGGCCUUCUGGACUGAAACUGACACUGAGGUGCGAAAGCGUGGGUAGCAAACAGGAUUAGAUACCCGUGUAGUC